rnacentral:piRNA from 1 species
GGCAGCUUACAGGGUUAGUUACGGAC